CAUGCAAGUCGAACGGAAAGGCCCUUUCGGGGGUACUCGAGUGGCGAACGGGUGAGUAACACGUGGGUGAUCUGCCCUGCACUUUGGGAUAAGCCUGGGAAACUGGGUCUAAUACCGGAUAUACCUCAUGGGCUGCAUGGUUUGUGAGGGAAAGCUUUUGCGGUGUGGGAUGGGCCCGCGGCCUAUCAGCUUGUUGGUGGGGUGAUGGCCUACCAAGGCGACGACGGGUAGCCGGCCUGAGAGGGUGACCGGCCACACUGGGACUGAGAUACGGCCCAGACUCCUACGGGAGGCAGCAGUGGGGAAUAUUGCACAAUGGGCGCAAGCCUGAUGCAGCGACGCCGCGUGAGGGAUGACGGCCUUCGGGUUGUAAACCUCUUUCAGCAGGGACGAAGCGCAAGUGACGGUACCUGUAGAAGAAGGACCGGCCAACUACGUGCCAGCAGCCGCGGUAAUACGUAGGGUCCGAGCGUUGUCCGGAAUUACUGGGCGUAAAGAGCUCGUAGGUGGUUUGUCGCGUUGUUCGUGAAAACUUCACA
rnacentral:rRNA from 1 species